rnacentral:snoRNA from 2 species
ACUAGAGACUAGAGUCACAUCCUGACAGCUCUUGUCCUAGUGUGCUAGAGUCCUUAGAGAAAAUGUGCUGUUCUUGGUUCACUGGUGAGGGCGAUCAUUGCCCCCAGGAGUGCUCAGAUUAGAUACAUGC